CCUGCUUGUUCCCUGUCUUCGUAGUUCUGGAUUAUUCCCUGUGUUUUGGAUCGCCUUGUGUUCUGGACUACCUUUGUUGGACUUUGCCUCGAGCUCCUUCUGAGUUUACUGAUCAGGUCAGCAGCUGACAGUGAAUGUGGAGAGCGGCCUCUGCUGGACCACAAGAUGUGUCUCAAGUCAGUUUUGAAGAGACCAAUCAGGGCUCGGUUACCGUGGAUCCAGUCGGUACUCUGACCUCAGACCUGCAGACCGACCUGUCGCUGUCUCCUCCCCCACACCUGGAGAACACACACAUACUGCAGUCCUGGUCCGACAGUACGACCCACAGACAGGUAGGGAGCUCACAGUUUGAAGUGGG